UGGCUGAUCGGGACAGACAAGUGUGUGGA
rnacentral:piRNA from 1 species